CCAGAAAUUCUUUGAUAUCGUCAAGCUAGGUGAAUGAAUUGAGGAGGGAAUUAAGAAUGUAUGGUUACUAAUAUUGAAGCAUUGUAGGCCACCAACAAGGCUUUACAGUCUUGUGGAACGUCCAAGAAGAAGGAUGUGAGUGCCGUAAUGGUCACACAAGAAGCCAAAUCACCACUAAAAUACCACACUUACCCGUCACCCCCACCUACAUAUCAGCCUAUCCCGAAUUACCAAGUACCCGUGCCCUCUUACCAAAAUACACCAUCCGUUUACCAAUCAUCUCCACCUCCCACAUAUCAACCCACCUUACCCAGAUACUCUCAACCUGCACCUUUAUACCAAGCUUAUAAUACCCAACCCUCUCACUACCAAUCACCUCCCACUCGCCAAAAUUUCCCUAGAUCCAGGACAAAUGUUGACCGCAGACCUCCCAGACAAUACACGACAAUCACUGAGCCCAUUGACCAGCUAUAUGAGAGGCUUAUAACUCUCCUUUAUCCCUGCCAUAACUCCAGAAAAUCCUUACCAGUGGGUCAACCCUAAUAAGACCUGUGCGUACCACUCCGACAUGAAGGGACAUACAGUCGAUGAGUGCCGCUCAUUGAAGGAUACGAUUCAAACCCUGAUAGACAAUAAGGUCAUCAUAGCAAAUGAGCAUGCUCCUAAUGUUCACAAUAACCCUCUGCCUGACUACAAGGAUGGAGACAUCCACAUGAUCAAGAUCAAAGAUGACUAGGACCCCAAAGAGUCGAUAGGAUUGAUUGUUGAGGGUGCUCAGCCAAAGAAACCAGCAGUCACGCUUAAACCAAUUGUUGUGCAGAAUCAACCCUCCAAGGGCGAUGAAAUGUAUACCUCUCGAAUUUGAAGCACCUUCUUCUGCAAAGGCAUCCAGACCAAUUGAGGUUGAGUUUGGAGUUCCAAAAGCAUCUAUGACCUUUGAAGUUGUUGUGAGCGUACCUGUUCAUGUAGCAAUGUCAGACAUAACACCAUUCCACUCAAAUGUCAUACCAUGGGAUUACACAGCUGAAGCCAAGAGGAUAGGGAAAACUAAGACAUGAGAAGAAACUGUUGCACAGGGUAUGACCAGAACAUGCAGAGUGUAUACUCCAGAACAUUUAGCUGAGUCCAGUAAGCAAGCCUCUAGACCGCUUAUUGAAACUGGACCUGAUGAUCU
rnacentral:lncRNA from 1 species